CUUUCUUCUAAACCUGCGCACCCUUCGUUUUCACUUCAUCUUCUUAUCCUACGCACACCAGGUACGUUAGUUAACCCCACUUGUUUUGUUUUUUCUUCUCAUAACAUAAACCUUAUUUAGUAAUAUUGAAUUCUCAAUUUUUUAUUUAUUUGGUUUUAUGUUCAGAAUCUCUUCAAUUUCUCUAUUCAAUCAUUAUUUUUAUUUUUUUGUUGAUAUUGGGAUUGAGUAUUUUAUAAAUUUGAUUAUUUUCAUCCAUUACAUUAUUAAUAAAUAAAUGUUGAAAUUAUUUACCUAAUUACUUUUUAGUUAAGUUGUUUUAAAAUUUAAAUGUAAUAGAUUUGCUUCAAAAACAAUGUCUUGUGCUGUGUGAGUUUGUUCAACUUCACCUAAAAAAACAAAAAUACAAAAUAACACAAGUUGUUUUUGUUUUGAAUUUUGAUCAUGAAUAUACAAUAGGAAGAGAACACAAAACCCUAGAAACUAGAAAAGAGGGGAAGAAGUUUAAACCUGCCUCCAAAACCACAUGUUACUUUCUUCAAGGAGUCAAUUGCAAUGGUUGCAUUGGAAUUUGCUAUCUUAUGGCAGAUAUACCAAUUUCAAUUAAUUGUAGAAUUCUGUUUUUGCAUGUCAUCUGUAUGCUGAACUUAUUACUAGAAAUGUUUUUUGAUUUUUUUGUUCCUUAUGUUAUCAUUUGAUUACUAGAUAGUUUGAUUUUCCUUUUUUUUUUUAUACUAAAUAUAAUUGCAUUCAUAAUAAUUGAUUGCUUGUCCCGCUGCAAUUUGCCGCAAUUAU
rnacentral:lncRNA from 1 species